rnacentral:snRNA from 1 species
GUACCUAAUUUGUGCCGGGGCCUCGUUGAUCACUGAGGACGAGCCCCCAGGGCGAGGCGCGGGCAUUACACUCCGCUCGUGUUGACCCCUGCCGUUUCCCAAACUGUGGCAGAUGUGGCAUGCAAAUUGC